rnacentral:misc_RNA from 1 species
AGUCGUAACAAGGUUUCCGUAGGUGAACCUGCGGAAGGAUCAUUAACACGUAUCCAAACGUUAAACCCCCCUGUGAACCUUCAGUGUACUCGUAUGUCCGUUAGAAGCAGCAAUCCCUGGUAAAUCAUCGCCGAACAGUUUUCGAUUCAGGGACGUCUGCAAGGAGCGUGCAUGUGGCCUGGCAUCCCCAAGCAGUUAGUGUCUGAAAGUGUCAUUAACUGUGUAAGGAUGACGCAGUCACGAUCGUUGGAGGCCCACACGGCCGACGACCGGGUCACUGGGCGCAAGCCCCUAUAAUACGCAGUCGACCAAAAACCGAACAACUGUUAACAAUGGAUACCUUGGUUCUC